CCGCACAAGCAGCGGAGCGUGUGGUUUAAUUCGAUGAUACGCGAAGAACCUCACCCAGGUUUGACAUGCAUGUGGUACCAAGGUGAAAGCUGAGGGACCCUUCGGGGAGCAUGCACAGGUGUUGCACGGCCGUCGUCAGCUCGUGCCGUGAGGUGUUCGGGUUAAGUCCCGCAACGAGCGCAACCCCUGUCGCCAGUUGUAUUUUUCUGGCGAGACUGCCGAGAAAACCUCGGAGGAAGGAGGGGACGAUGUCAGGUCAGCGUGGCCCUUACGCCUGGGGCUACACACACGCUACAAUGGGCAGUACAACGGGUCGCGAAGCCGCGAGGUGGAGCUAAUCCCAUCAAAGCUGUCCUCAGUUCGGAUUGCAGGCUGCAACUCGCCUGCAUGAAGCCGGAGUUGCUAGUAACCGCAGGUCAGCACUACUGCGGUGAAUACGUUCCCGGGCCUU
rnacentral:rRNA from 1 species